rnacentral:lncRNA from 10 species
GCUAAAGUACCAGCGUGGAAACUUACCUGGGACCACAAGUUGGUGCUGAAAAAUAAACUAGGAAUGUGGCUCGUAGGAAAAUCCUGCUGGGUAAGGACAGAAGUGCAAAGUCCUAUUGCCUUAAGGACAUGCCCCACGGCACCCAGUGCUGGGAAAACUGUGAGCCAUGGAAGGAAAACAAGGUUUGAAAUGCGUGGAGCCAGAACCUCGUCUGUGGAAAAUUCUUCCAAAUUUCAUAGUUCCUAUAUGAAAGAAGGCUGAUGACAGUUUCUCAAAUUUUACAACAAUCCAGAACAUUUGUAUGGCACCGUCAACAACAGAUUAGGAAGUUUAACUUUCCUAAACUACCAAUAAUUAAAACACAAAUUUCAACCAUGUUAGGAGGAAGACUGAAGUAUCUUUUCUCUGUAUGGAAAAUAUCUCCCCCAA